UACAGAGGGUGCAAGCGUUAAUCGGAAUUACUGGGCGUAAAGCGCGCGUAGGUGGUUUGUUAAGUUGGAUGUGAAAUCCCCGGGCUCAACCUGGGAACUGCAUCCAAAACUGUCGAGCUAGAGUAUGGUAGAGGGUGGUGGAAUUUCCUGUGUAGCGGUGAAAUGCGUAGAUAUAGGAAGGAACACCAGUGGCGAAGGCGACCACCUGGACUGAUACUGACACUGAGGUGCGAAAGCGUGGGGAGCAAACAGG
rnacentral:rRNA from 1 species